rnacentral:rRNA from 1 species
GAUGAACGCUGGCGGCGUGCCUAAUACAUGCAGGUCGAGCGAACAGACGAGGAGCUUGCUCCUCUGACGUUAGCGGCGGACGGGUGAGUAACACGUGGAUAACCUACCUAUAAGACUGGGAUAACUUCGGGAAACCGGAGCUAAUACCGGAUAAUAUAUUGAACCGCAUGGUUCAAUAGUGAAAGACGGUUUUGCUGUCACUUAUAGAUGGAUCCGCGCCGCAUUAGCUAGUUGGUAAGGUAACGGCUUACCAAGGCGACGAUGCGUAGCCGACCUGAGAGGGUGAUCGGCCACACUGGAACUGAGACACGGUCCAGACUCCUACGGGAGGCAGCAGUAGGGAAUCUUCCGCAAUGGGCGAAAGCCUGACGGAGCAACGCCGCGUGAGUGAUGAAGGUCUUCGGAUCGUAAAACUCUGUUAUUAGGGAAGAGCAAAUGUGUAAGUAACUAUGCACGUCUUGACGGUACCUAAUCAGAAAGCCACGGCUAACUACGUG